rnacentral:rRNA from 1 species
AGAGUUUGAUCCUGGCUCAGAACGAACGCUGGCGGCGUGCUUAACACGUGCAAGUCGAACGGUCUUUUCGGAGAUAGUGGCGGACGGGUGAGUAAUACAUAGAUAACCUGCCUUUAAGAGGGGGACAACCAUUCGAAAGGGUGGCUAAUACCGCGUAAUAUCGUUGAUUGAAAUAUUGAUGAGGAAAGGAGCAAUCCGCUUUUAGAGGGGUCUAUGGUCGAUUAGUUAGUUGGUAAGGUAAUGGCUUACCAAGACGUUGAUCGAUAGCUGGUCUGAGAGGACGAUCAGCCACACUGGGACUGAGACACGGCCCAGACUUCUACGGAAGGCAGCAGUGGGAAUUUUCCGCAAUGGGCGCAAGCCUGACGGAGCGACGCCGCGUGGGUGAAGAAUUCUUUAGGGAUGUAAAGCCCUGUCAGUAGGGAAGAACUAAGUGACGGUACCUACAGAGGGAGCAUCGGCUAACUACGUGCCAGCAGCCGCGGUAAUACGUAGGAUGCGAGCGUUGUUCGGAAUCACUGGGCGUAAAGAGUACGUAGGCGGUUAUGUAAGUCUGACAUUAAAGCCCGAAGCUCAACUUCGGAAUCGCGUUGGAAACUGUAUGACUAGAGGACAAUAGAGGAAGCCGGAAUUCUCAGUGUAGCGGUGAAAUGCGUAGAUAUUGGGAAGAACACCAGUUGCGAAAGCGGGCUUCUGGGUUGUUACUGACGCUGAGGUACGAAGGCGUGGGUAGCGAACAGGAUUAGAUACCCUGGUAGUCCACGCGGUAAACGAUGGAUACUAGAUGUAGCCGGUCUCGACCCCGGCUGUGUCGUAGUUAACGCGAUAAGUAUCCCGCCUGGGGAGUACGACCGCAAGGUUGAAACUCAAAGGAAUUGACGGGGGCCCGCACAAGCGGUGGAGGAUGUGGUUUAAUUCGACGCAACGCGAAGGACCUUACCAAGGCUUGACAUCCAGCGAAUCUGUUCGAAAGAGUGGAGUGCCAGAAAUGGAGCGUUGAGACAGGUGGUGCAUGGCUGUCGUCAGCUCGUGUCGUGAGAUGUUGGGUUAAGUCCCGCAACGAGCGCAACCCUCGAUGCUAGUUGCCAUCAUUAAGUUGGGGACUCUAGCGUGACUGCCGGUGAUAAGCCGGAGGAAGGUGAGGACGACGUCAAGUCAUCAUGCCCCUUACGUCUUGGGCCACACACGUCCUACAAUGGCAUAGACAAAGGGCAGCGAGAUUGCAAAGUUAAGCGAAUCCCAUAAACUAUGUCCCAGUUCAGAUUGCAGGCUGCAACUCGCCUGCAUGAAGU